UACGGAGGGUGCAAGCGUUAUCCGGAUUCACUGGGUUUAAAGGGUGUGUAGGCGGGCUAUUAAGUCAGUGGUGAAAUCUCCGGGCUCAACUCGGAAACUGCCAUUGAUACUAUUAGUCUUGAAUAUCGUUGAGGUUGGCGGAACAUAUCAUGUAGCGGUGAAAUGCAUAGAUAUGAUAUAGAACACCGAUUGCGAAGGCAGCUAACUAAGCGAUGAUUGACGCUGAGGCACGAAAGCGUGGGGAUCAAACAGG
rnacentral:rRNA from 1 species